rnacentral:rRNA from 1 species
AGAGUUUGUUCCUGGCUCAAGAUGAACGCUGGCGGCGUGCUUAACACAUGCAAGUCAAGCGAAGCACUUAUCAUUGACUCUUCGGAGAAUAUGAUAUUUGACUGAGCGGCGGACGGGUGAGUAACGCGUGGGUAACCUGCCUCAUACAGGGGAAUAACAGUUAGAAAUGGCUGCUAAUGCCGCAUAAGCGCACAGGACCGCAUGGUCCGGUGUGAAAAACCGAGGUGGUAUGAGAUGGACCUGCGUCUGAUUAGGUAGUUGGUGGGGUAACGGCCUACCAAGCCGACGAUCAGUAGCCGGCCUGAGAGGGAGAACGGCCACAUUGGGACUGAGACACGGCCCAAACUCCUACGGGAGGCAGCAGUGGGGAAUAUUGCACAAUGGGGGGAACCCUGAUGCAGCCGACGCCGCGUGAGUGAAGAAGUAUUUCGGUAUUUAAAGCUCUAUCAGCAGGGAAGAAAAUGACGGUACCUGACUAAGAAGCCCCGGCUAACUACGUGCCAGCAGCCGCGGUAAUACGUAGGGGGCAAGCGUUAUCUGGAAUUUCUGGGUGUAAAGGGUGCGUAGGUGGUAUGGCAAGUCCGAAGUGAAAACCCAGGGCUUAACUCUGGGAUUGCUUUUGAAACUGUCAGACUGGAGUGCAGGAGAGGUAAGCGGAAUUCCUAGUGUAGCGGUGAAAUGCGUAGAUAUUAGGAGGAACAUCAGUGGCGAAGGCGGCUUAUUGGACUGAAACUGACCCUGAGGCCCGAAAGCGUGGGGAGCAAACAGGAUUAGAUACCCUGGUAGUCCACCCCGUAAACGAUG